UGGGGAUUCGCCAAGUUGGUUAAGGCAUCGGAUUCUGAAUCCGACAUACGUAGGUUCGAAUCCUACAUCCCCAGCCA
rnacentral:tRNA from 17 species